AACGUAGGUCACAAGCGUUGUCCGGAAUUACUGGGUGUAAAGGGAGCGCAGGCGGGAAGACAAGUUGGAAGUGAAAUCUAUGGGCUCAACCCAUAGACUGCUUUCAAAACUGUUUUUCUUGAGUAGUGCAGAGGUAGGCGGAAUUCCCGGUGUAGCGGUGGAAUGCGUAGAUAUCGGGAGGAACACCAGUGGCGAAGGCGGCCUACUGGGCACCAACUGACGCUGAGGCUCGAAAGUGUGGGUAGCAAACAGG
rnacentral:rRNA from 1 species